rnacentral:rRNA from 1 species
GACGAACGCUGGCGGCGUGCCUAACACAUGCAAGUCGAACGCUAAAGGAGGCGAUUGCUCUUAAUGGGUGAUACGCGAACGGGAGAGUAACGCAAAGGACACCUGCCUGGUAGAGGGCGAUCACUAAUGGAAACGAUAGCUAAUACCGCAUAAUAGAUGAUGUAGCAUGUCUUUUGCGUAAAAGGUGCAAUUACAACACCACCAGUCUGACCUGCGUUGUAUUCGCUAGUUGGGGAGGUAACGGUAAAACCAGGCAAAGAUACAUAGCCGGACUGAGAGGGUGAUCAGCCACACUGGGACUGAGACACGGCCCAGACUCCUACGGGAGGCGGCAGUAGGGAAUCUUCGGCAAUGGACGGAAGUCUGACCGAGCAACGCCGCGUGAGUGAAGAAGGCUUUCGGAUCGUAAAGCUCUGUUGUGAGGGAAGAACGAGUGUGGGGUUGGAAAGUUCACACUGUGACGGUAUCUUACCAGAAAGGAACGGCUAACUACGUG